CUCCUGAACACAAGCAAGUCUUUUAUGUGGCUGCAUUGGGAAGAUGAAGCACGAAAGAUGCUGUGAAGAUGACACUUCAAAACAUGAGUCUGUUCCGCAGCUAGGCAAGAUAAGCAGUGACUUGAGAGCCCAGACGGGAUACGCGGCUUUGGGGAAAGGUGUGUGACUCGCGGAAGCUCCACAACUACCUGUGGCCAGAGAGAGCUAGAGAAGACAGUAACAUCAGCCACUUUACCCUGCCCAGAUCUGCGAGGA